UACGGGGGGGGCAAGCGUUGUUCGGAAUUACUGGGCGUAAAGGGCGCGUAGGCGGCCAGCACAAGUCAGUUGUGAAAUCUCCGAGCUUAACUCGGAAAGGUCAACUGAUACUGUGCGGCUAGAGUGCGGAAGGGGCAACUGGAAUUCUUGGUGUAGCGGUGAAAUGCGUAGAUAUCAAGAGGAACACCAGAGGCGAAGGCGGCCUACUGGGCGUGCACCUGACGCUGAGCCGCGAAAGCCAGGGGAGCGAACGGG
rnacentral:rRNA from 1 species